UAUAAGAAAAAGGAAAAGCAAAAGGAGAGCAUAUUAGAAUGAAUGGAAUCAUUUCAUUACCUUUGCUGUUUGCUCUCUUUUUCUCUCUCUGCAUCAAUUAUUCAUUUCCAUUCCUAAACCACAACCCUUCGCUCUGAAACAAUUCUCAGCACAAAGAAUGGAAGAAGUUGCCGCCGCCGCCAUGCUUCAAGUUCUAUUUGAAACCCUCAAGAAUGAGGUCUCACUUGUUCGAGGUUUCAGAAAUGAAGCACAACAGUUAACUCAGAAUCUGGACAUGAUCCAGAAAUUCUUGAGUGAUGCAGAGAUGGGCUCCAUCCCCGGUGAGGCUGUCAAGAAGUGGCUCUCGGAUCUUGGAGACGUGGGGUUCGAUGCUGACAUGAUCCAGAAAUUCCCAUAUCCCCCACAUCUGUAUUGAUGGACGAUGGACCCACGUCGAUAGCUCGCUUAAUGUCUUACAAUUGAAGGGGAUGGAAAGUUGGGAAAAUCUACCGGAAUCGAUUCAAUAUCUCUCUACUCUUUCUUAUUUAAACUUGAUGAAUUUUGAAUGGAAGAGUUACCUGAAUGGUUGGGGAACUUGUCAUCUCUAAGGGAGUUGCGUAUACAAAAUUGUAAGAAGUUAAGGCAUAUGGAUGCAAUGCGGCGCCUCACUGAAUUAGUCAGCUUAUAUAUAUAUUGAGGGAUGCCCAGAAAUAUGUGUUGAAGAAGCAAGUGAUGCAGCUGAUUCUCAAUGGCCCAACAUUUCCCAUCUCCCCGACAUCCAUAUUGAUGGACGCCUCAUCCAUCAUGAUGAGGAAGCUCGUGUUUGAGUUUGAGUUGCUUCGAGUGAGGUGGUGAAGGAGUGUGUGCCCAUUAAUUUUCUCCAACUUGAUGUCAACAUUCUUCAAAUUCCCACC